CUUCUGACUCUAUAGUGGACCUUCAGAGUCUUAUUUGGAUUCAGUUGGAUUGGAUGCCCCUCUGUAUACUGAUCUUGACCCUUGAAUCCUCAGAAAUAUUAUAUCCUAAUGAAAAUGUGUGUACUUAUCGCAUACAUUCAAUUAUUUAGAAAUUUCAGGGACAUAUACACUAUCAUAAAACAAUCAAUGUCAAACUUCACCAUUACAAUGAAC